AGUGAACGCUGGCGGUAGGCCUAACACAUGCAAGUCGAACGGCAGCACAGUAAGAGCUUGCUCUUACGGGUGGCGAGUGGCGGACGGGUGAGGAAUACAUCGGAAUCUACUUUUUCGUGGGGGAUAACGUAGGGAAACUUACGCUAAUACCGCAUACGACCUACGGGUGAAAGCAGGGGAUCUUCGGACCUUGCGCGAUUGAAUGAGCCGAUGUCGGAUUAGCUAGUUGGCGGGGUAAAGGCCCACCAAGGCGACGAUCCGUAGCUGGUCUGAGAGGAUGAUCAGCCACACUGGAACUGAGACACGGUCCAGACUCCUACGGGAGGCAGCACUGGGGAAUAUUGGACAAUGGGCGCAAGCCUGAUCCAGCCAUACCGCGUGGGUGAAGAAGGCCUUCGGGUUGUAAAGCCCUUUUGUUGGGAAAGAAAAGCAGCAGGUUAAUACCCCGCUGUUCUGACGGUACCCAAAGAAUAAGCACCGGCUAACUUCGUG
rnacentral:rRNA from 1 species